rnacentral:rRNA from 1 species
UACGUAGGGUGCAAGCGUUGUCCGGAAUUAUUGGGCGUAAAGAGCUCGUAGGCGGUUUGUCGCGUCGAAUGUGAAUCCCGGGCUCAACCCCGGGCCUGCAUUCGAUACGGCAGACUAGAGUUCGGUAGGGGAGUCUGGAAUUCCUGGUGUAGCGGUGAAAUGACGCAGAUAUCAGGAGGAACACCGGUGGCGAAGGCGGGACUCUGGGCCGAUACUGACGCUGAGGAGCGAAAGCGUGGGAGCAAACAGG